rnacentral:lncRNA from 1 species
GAGCCUAAUAGGCUACUUCUACAAUUAGGCUAUUUUUGUAAUUUGUUUGUCUAUGUCUUUAAUUAGACUAGUUGUGUAAAUAGGCUAUACUUGCAAUUAGGCCAGUCAUGUAAAUAGGCUAUAUCUGUAAAAGGGGUUAUUUUGAUAUAAGGGGUCAGGGGUCGUUUGUAAUAACCGAGGCGUCAUUUUCUCAGAAAUAAUAUCUGAGUCUUCUUCAAGACUCUUCGAUGCUCUCCCUUCUCUCUACUUUCUCUCUCUAAGUUUCUUCGAUA